CGGACUGGCGCACGGGUGAGUAACACGUAUGCAACCUGGCCGUCACAGGUGGAUAACCGGAAGAAAUUCCGACUAAUACAGCAUAACACUCCUGAGGGACAUCCCUUGGGAGUCAAAGGAGGCAACUCCGGUGACGGAUGGGCAUGCGGCGCAUUAGGUAGUUGGUAGGGUAACGGCCUACCAAGCCGACGAUGCGUAGGGGUUCUGAGAGGAAGGCCCCCCACAUUGGAACUGAGACACGGUCCAAACUCCUACGGAAGGCAGCAG
rnacentral:rRNA from 1 species